GGACUGUCAGAUGGAGUUCCUUGGAGAAAUUCAAUGGUAACAAAAGAAUACAUGGAAUAGUGAAUACUUUGAAAUCUAGGGUUGAGGUGGGGUGGGGUGGGUUAAUCUGGUUUCUCCUUGAUUGAAACCCCAUGGGAGCCUUAAGAGAUAGACUGCGAUACUGUAGCACUUGGCCCUAGAUGAAGUGUUUUCUUUAAAUCUCUACCUUGCAGGGAAGGAACUGCUGUCUUUACCUGAAGAGAAGUGGAGAACUGAAAUGCCUCAGCCGAGGAGAAAGCCUAAUUUUCUCUGCCAGAUUCCAGCACCUGUCUGCUAACUGCAACCAUUAGGCCCCAGGGGUGACAGUACAGAAACACAAAAGUAUCUGUUGUGUUUAGGACACUAUGUGGGUAGAACGCCAAACUCAGAAUUUUGUAGAUGACUCUCAUCUCUAAUAAACUGUGUCUGCCUUAUGCUGUUCACUUUUUUUUUAAAGAAGGAAACAUUUGAGGAGGUCUUAGCUUUUUUUUUCAACUGAAAAAGGCCAUUUUAGUGUGAAGUGUAAUCAUGACACUCAGGUUUAUGAAUCUUUAGUAUUUAGGGGUAAAAUCUAUAAUCCAAACCAAAAUAUGCAUUUGUAGCUAGUCUUGUAUAAGACUUCUUUUAAAACAAUUUGUUUUUUCCAUGUGUGCGUGUGGUUUGCCUGCAUGUAUAUCUGUGCACCACAGACAUACCAGCGCCUAUGGAGUCAGAAGAGGUCGUUGGAGCUCCUGUAUGUGGGUGCUGGGAACCGAACCCAGGUCCUUGGCAAGAGCAGCAAGUCAUCCUAACUGCUGAACUCCUCCAGCCCCCUUGUACAGGUUUUCUUAAGAAAAUGAUGGACUGUCCAAAUCGAUAGCUGCCCCGAGAAUGUAAAAACUUCGACCUCUUAGCUGAUUGCUAAGGUCUACAAAAAUCUUCAGCCCUCAAAGAAAGUGGUCAACUUGUCCUCAGCUACCGGUGCUCGCUGGCGGGUUCGUAGAGCAUCCACCCGCAGAGAUGGAGCUGCCAUAGUCCUCUCAUCCAAAGGCCCCGUCCCCGAGGACCCCCAUCUCUGCCCCCCCAGGCAGCCCGCGCUCCCUCCGCAGGUGGCCGCGCCGGAGCCCCGCCCCCACUCACUCCCCAAGUCGCGGGGCCUCGUCCGCUCUCGCGAGAUCCCGGCCGCCGAGCGCUCGGGGCCUUUUCAAAUCGCGAUCCGUUACCGCUUCUCCGGCCGCCGCCAUUGUAGCGCUCGGAGCCCUCAUCGCGGCCGAGGCGGAGCCCGCGGCGGGAUGGCCGAUGCCGACAAGUCCGAGGCGGCCGCGGGUGACGACGGCUCGCAGCAGCAACCGGCUGAGCCGCGGCGAGACACGCACCCCGGCGAGCCCGAGAAACCGCCGCGCAGCAGCGCCAACGGCGUUAAAAUGGAGAAUGAUGAGUCAGUGAAGGAAGAAAAAUCUGAUUUAAAAGAAAAGUCUACAGGAAAUAAGAAGGCCAAUCGGUUCCAUCCUUAUUCAAAAGAUAAGAAUUCGGGCACUGGAGAAAAGAAAGGUCCAAAUCGGAACAGAGUGUUCAUUAGCAACAUACCCUAUGACAUGAAGUGGCAGGCUAUUAAAGAUUUGAUGAGAGAAAAAGUUGGUGAGGUUACAUACGUGGAGCUCUUUAAGGAUGCGGAAGGAAAAUCAAGGGGUUGUGGCGUGGUUGAAUUCAAAGAUGAAGAAUUUGUAAAGAAAGCAUUAGAAACUAUGAACAAAUAUGACCUUAGUGGAAGGCCUUUGAAUAUUAAAGAGGAUCCGGAUGGAGAAAAUGCUCGCCGGGCACUGCAGCGAACAGGAACAUCAUUUCAAGGAUCACAUGCCUCCGAUGUGGGAUCUGGGUUGGUGAAUUUACCACCUUCCAUUCUCAAUAAUCCAAACAUUCCUCCUGAGGUUAUCAGCAAUUUGCAGGCUGGUAGACUUGGUUCCACAAUUUUUGUUGCUAAUCUUGACUUCAAAGUUGGUUGGAAGAAAUUAAAGGAAGUGUUCAGCAUAGCUGGAACUGUGAAGCGAGCUGAUAUUAAAGAAGACAAGGAUGGCAAGAGCAGAGGCAUGGGCACUGUCACUUUUGAGCAGGCAAUUGAAGCAGUCCAAGCAAUUUCCAUGUUCAAUGGGCAGUUUUUAUUUGAUAGACCUAUGCAUGUGAAAAUGGAUGACAAAUCUGUCCCUCAUGAAGACUACCGUUCACAUGAUAGUAAGACAUCACAGUUACCACGUGGUCUUGGAGGCAUUGGAAUGGGACUUGGUCCAGGUGGACAGCCUAUUAGUGCCAGCCAGCUGAACAUAACUGGUGUAAUGGGAAAUUUGGGUCCAAGUGGUAUGGGAAUGGAUGGUCCGGGUUUUGGAGGAGUGAAUAGAAUUGGAGGAGGAGUUGGGUUUGGUGGUCUGGAAGCAAUGAAUAGCAUGGCAGGCUUUGGUGGAGUUGGCCGAAUGGGAGAGCUAUACCGUGGUGCAAUGACUAGUAGCAUGGAGCGAGAUUUCGGACGUGGUGAUAUUGGAUUAAGUCGAGGCUUUGGCGAUUCCUUUGGUAGACUUGGCGGCAGCAUGAGCGGCAUGAGCACUGUGACUGGAGGCAUGGGCAUGGGACUGGACCGCAUGAGCUCCAGCUUCGACAGGAUGGGGCCAGGCAUUGGAGCCAUACUGGAAAGGAGCAUCGAUGUAGACCGAGGGUUUUUAUCAGGUCCCAUGGGAAGCGGAAUGAGAGACAGAUUAGGCUCCAAAGGCAACCAGAUAUUUGUUAGAAAUCUUCCUUUUGACUUGACUUGGCAGAAAUUAAAAGAGAAAUUCAGCCAAUGUGGUCAUGUAAUGUUUGCAGAGAUAAAGAUGGAGAAUGGCAAGUCAAAAGGCUGUGGGACAGUCAGGUUUGAAUCUGCAGAGUCAGCGGAAAAGGCCUGCAGGAUCAUGAAUGGCAUCAAGAUCAGCGGCAGGGAAAUCGAUGUGCGCUUGGACCGCAAUGCGUAAUUUCAAGCAUGGUUGGAACCUUUCCUCAUCUGUUUAUGACUCUCCUAGUAAAAGUCAUUUUUAGUAAUGUUGUAUGCUUACAAAUGCUGUAAAAAUGAACUUUUACAACUCCCACCAGCUAUUAACAGGAUAGUGUGGAAAAUGUACUGUGAGUUUUUUGUUUUUUGUUUUUUGUUUUUUUUUUUUUUUUUUUUUUGUUCUCAAGUUUGAGUUUCUAAAGACAGCACAUCUGAUCAUUCAGUUUCAGUGGAUGGACAUACCAUUUUUAAUGAAAUAAGCCAUUUUGUUAUUUUCAGUAGCAGAGUUUGUCUGUUCCAGUUUUCCCGACCUUGGUGUAAGCUCACAGAUACUUUGUUUUCUUUUAAAAUCUUUGCUUUGUAUGUGAGUUAAAGGAAAGAAAGGGCUCAGACAAAUUAGGAUGGAUUUUGGUUUGGUUUAAAUUACUUUUCUCUGCUUAUAAAGAAUAGUAAUUAAGUGUUAGACUCUAAAGUUGAAGAUGCUUUUUAUUUGACCUAAAUGAAGACAUGAAUUUUCUUCUUUUUGCCCCUCUACCAUUCCAUCUUUCCACAUAACACUAUUAAAAAAUAUCAAACUCCACAACCCCUUAUUCUAUUAUUUCCAAUAAUUCCAAUUUCAUAUAGAACUGAUAAAGUAGCAAGUCCUAAGUAUAACACUAGGCAGACCACCCCCAACUUUCGGUCUAGUUUCCAGCCAUUAAAAUGAACUGCUAAGAACAGAAAUAAAAUUGAAAUGUUGAGAGAGAUUGUUAUAUAUGUGAGUCCCUUGCUAUUCACUUCUAUAGGAGCAGAUGCAUUCGUAAAUGCAGUCUUAAUAAACCAGGGAAGACCUAGGCAUAGCAUAUCAAACACAUUGGAUCCCACGAUGUUAGAUAUAGCCAUGUCUCCUUUACCUGCAGAAGAAUAGCAUGUUGUUAAAAUGUGCACAUCAAUACUAUAUUUUAUUAAUAAUCUUCAUAAGAAAAACACUGGAUACUUUUUGUUGGUUAGUUUUAGAAAACUGUUAUUGUUAGAGCAAGAGUCUUAUUGAAUUUGUAUUUCCUUGGGUUAGUAUUUUAAAGUCUUAACAUUUAUUUAAUAAUUGUCUUUAUUUAUUAAACCAUUUUUAAUAAGGUAUACAGCUUACUUGUUGCUUUUUAUUCUCAUUUGACAGUGAAUUACCAUCUAAUUCACAUUUCAGUUUGCCUGAUGUCAAAUAUGUUCUUAUUGGGAAAAAUUGGAUACGGCAAAUAUGCAAGCUACCUGGACAUUCUUAUCUUCUUCAUGAAAAAUAAAACUAUUUUGUUUUUGUUUAUUUGUUAGCAUACAGUUACAAUAAAGUUAGUUAUCUGGGAGAAGUCAGACCAGCCAGUUUGGAGAGGGUUCCAGGUAGUAGUUAUUCCAACUCUACAGUGUUUGAAUUUGUGUUGUAAUUCUUUAGCCCCAGCAGUGUGAGGACAGCAGUGUGUACAUGUUAGUAGGUGUCUGGGCCCAGCUGUGGUCAGUGAAGCUUCACUGGUACAAUCUGGUUGCAUGAUUUAGGCAUGGAGGAAAGAGUAUUCACUUCUAAUGGGUAUAUUACAACUAAGUGAUAAAAUGUACUCUGGAAGAUGCUAGAAACCUAAAAACAAAACUUUGAUUCUCAUUAUUCAUUUGCAUUGUAUUUGUGAUACAUAUUUAAAGCAAAAGAAAAUACCAUCUACUCAAACAGAGAGCACCUACUGCUUUCUGUUGACCCCAGUCAUCUCUACUUUCUACUAUGGAUUAGAAUUCACUUUUAUGAAGAAUUCUCAUGAAACCUGUGUAAUUAUAAACAUAUCCAAUGAAUUAUACCCCUGACUGUGUCAUAGCAUACAUAGGAAAUGCUUUUGAUAUGUAACUCACAAAAACAUGAAUGAGCUUGCUGGUUUUGCUGUUAAAGCUUUCAUAUUUUGUAAAUAGUUUUUAGUCUUGCUGAAAAAAAAUAUAUGCUCCCAAGAUUACUUUAAAUGAAUACUUCCAAUUUGUUUUUACAUGGAAUAAUUUUCUUGUGCUAUUAUACUUAAAUUCCAUACCUGUUACUGUGACCAUCCAAACUAGGAUGUAUGUGAAUGCAGAUAUCCAUAGUGCAGACAUGAAAAAGGUUAUCACAAAGUAAUUUUUCCAAAACUUUCUCCUGCAGUCUGGUGUUGUCAGAGCAAGUAAUGUAAUAAUAGGAAGAGAGAGAACCCAAAAAAUUCUUCUUAAGUCUGCUUCUGGCAUGCUGAAAACACUUGGUGGAUCUGUGGUGGGAAAGUUCAACAUUUUGAGUUUUCUCAAAUGUGCAAUUAUGUUAGAAAGGCCCAUUUAGAAGGCUGUUUUGAAGUAAGUUACUGUAUGCAUCUUUUAAAGACCGUCUAGAACAGUAGUCUCAACCUGUGGGACUUGACCCCUUUGGUGUUGAACAACCAUUUUACAAGGGCCACCUAAGACCCUGAGAAGUCUCAGAUACUUACAUUACAAUUUAUAACAGCAAAAUUACAGUUCUAUGUAGUGUCAAUGAAAAUAAUUUUAUGGGUGAAAGUUACCACAAUAAGAGGGACUGUGUCAAACGGUCUCAGCAUUAGGAAAAUUGAGAAGCACUGGUCUAGAACAUUGGAAUACUCAUUACUAUUACUGCUGGUCAGAAGAAAUGUAACUAAAACUAGGCAGACAGUAUAAGCUGUGCUCUACAUCCCUUAACCGACUGCUCGAAUCAAAUAUCUUGAACUGUUUGCUGAAUGUGCUGGUGACAGUGUUCACGGAGUUGAAAGUAGGAUUUGCUUGCUUUACUGUAGUAUGGGUUCAUUAGAGACGUGAUGCUUUCUCUCCCAGCUCUUUCACUCCUCAUCUCUUUUCCAAAACGGACGCUGCUUAUGCUUUGUUGCACACUGAUGCACGCUUAGGGAGUGUUCCCUCUAACUCUCACUGUGCCGCAUCGUUUACUGAACGCAGGCUUCCCGGGUGCUAGAAGGAAUCUAGAGAAGGUUGGGCCUAGCAUCCUUGGUAUAGUUCCGGGGUGUGCUCUAGAAUGGUGAGGAGAUUGGAUAAAAGUGGGACGAGGCUGUACACUAAUGAAUAUGUUAAGUAUGUGAAGGUUGGAUCAAAUCACAAAUAUUAUUAUAACUCAUAAAAGCUCACCAAGACUCAGACAGUGCACCAUUAAUUUAGACACAGAUUCUAGCAUGAACAUUUUUGACUAGUUCUUUGGAGUCUUUGUUGUUUUAAAUCUCCUCAGUCUUAAAGACUACAAAGUAUGGUUUGUAAAAAUAAAUGUCUCGUGUCAAAAUUUUAAAGUAAUAAAUUAGAAGCUUGCUUCUCAAUUACCUAACUGAAGUUGGAACCACUUUUAUAAAAGCUUUUCUAGUCUGGAAUGCUAUUGCUAUAUCGAGCAUACCAAGCUCAUGUGCUGCUUCACACGGCAUGUUUAAGUUACACCUGCGUUCUUUUCCCCAUUCUGUUCCCCUGAAUCAUCCCCUUUCCUUUUAUUGACAGUUGUUACAAAGAUGUUCUUUCUUUCUUAGUGAAAAUCCAAGCUCCAGCGUUGUCUCUGCUCCCUCUCUGGCUCGGCAUUGCUGCCAUAGUUUGGUGCUGCUGCUUCUACUGUGUCUCAUAAUUCAUCCCCCUGCCUUUUCUGUUUUGUUCCUGUCCUUUCAUCUUAGCUCAGUCUUCUGUGAACAUUGGGUGAGAGAAAAGAGCCUAACAUGCAUCUCUGACUCUGUCUUAGGAAUGCUGCCUGCUCAGUGGGGUAUCUUGCACGACCUCCUGCACUUCCUUCCUGUCAGCCUGCUCCUCUGCUGCUUGCUGCACUUGCAUGUGUUGGCUCUGUGUGCAAGCAUGUGAGCAGGCCUUUGCUAGUGUUCCCAGGCCUCAGUCCAGAGCAUACUUAUACCCCUGAAUCAUGUAUGCAAUAAAAGUGUCAGCUGUUGCUUCCUGACUACACAUACUAUUAGAUUAUUGAGUUAAAGCCUCUCUUAUCCCAUGGGGCCCAAACCAAUUCAAAUGCUCCUUUCUCCAUGUGCAUCUCCCAUCUGAGUGUCAUCAAAGUUUAUUCAGUCUGCCUGUAUGAACCAUGGUAUUAGCAGUUUAUGUUUGCUUAUGGUGUUCACACUUUGAAAUUCUAGCUGAUUUCAUUCUGUGUCUGGGAAAUGGCUCAGUGGGUAAAGCGCUUGGUGCACGGGCAUGAGAGUCUGAGAUCAGAUUCUCAACACCACAUAAAAAAGCAUGGCAGCCCACAUGUAUACUCUCAGUGCUAUGGAAGUCAGAGACAGACAGAUCCCUAAAGUUCACUGGCCAGCUAGUCUAGCCUAAUCAGUGAGCUACAGGUUCAUUGAAUGACUGUGGUCUCAAAAAAUGAUGUGAAGUCUCAAAGAAUUGAGGGCUAGCAUCCAUGACUGACUCUGGCCUCCAUGUCUGUGUGUUCUCCCUUCCCCCACACUUUUAGCUGAUUAAAAAAAAAAUUAUUGUGAGUUCCUUAAAGGCCAGGACUUACUUGCAGUUCAUCAUCUCUGGCUCCAUAGUGUGUUGUGUAACCAUGUACUAAUUACUAACUCUCAAUGAGAACUCAGGUCUUUUAGAGUGUUAGAUGGCAGGGUGUAGUUGUUACCUUCAGAAACCUGACUAAGACCAUGCAAGCUUAGAGAAAGUUGGGAGUAACCGGAAUCUUCCUGAAAUAUUCCACUGUCUGUCCUUGACUGGCGACGAAUGAAGAGCUGGCUCUCAUCCUCCCAUCCCAACAGUGUCUGCUGUUCAAUUCUCUCCUCCAUAGCUCUGGCAAGGCAGGGACAACAGGGACUGCAUGUUUUCAUGACAUGCCGGCUGAUCGUGGUGUCAAAACACAGCAGCAGAACAUAGAGCCCAUAUAUCAGUAGCAGCCCUGCUCCUUCGUACCUAGACGUGGAGGAAAGGGCUGUGCAGUUAUCCAGUCAUUUUAAACAAUAUUCUCUAACAAAAGCAACAGUGGAAAAUUCAAGGAACCACUCCUAAAUGCUUUUAUUUACCCAGUUUUGGUUAUAGUAUGGUUACAAAUUCAUUGAUUAAAAAAUCUGCCUCUUUAAAAAGUAAUAUAAAAUCCAUUGUCUGACUUUAUAGAUUCCUUUCAAGUAAUAGGCACAAAAUAGUCGGAGAGUUAAAACUAAUUAAUAGAUAUUUUUUCAGUUCAUUUAUUUAGCAUACUACAUUUCUCAAAUAUUUAAUAAUUAGAAAAUAAAAUACUAUCUCUUAGAUUUUCUGAUACAGAAACAUGGUGUAGAAUACUUAGACUGUGCUAGGUUUUUGCUGGAGCUUUGCAGUUUGUUUUACAGAGAUUCAGAGGAAAGCCGGAGGUGGUGGGGUGUUGUUGGCUUUGAGGUCUCAUUGUAAAAGCCCAGACUGGCCUUGAACACUGCACCCUAGAUUGGCCUCAGACACUCAGAUUAUUAUCCUCCUACCUCUUCCACUUGAGUUUUGGGGGUUUUAUAUCUGUACUACUAUGCUUGGUCCCUUUUUGAUGAAUUGAUUGUAGCUUAAUUGGGUUUAUAUUCAUAAGAAAUAAAGAAUAUUCUCAAAAAUGAAAUUCUGGCAUACAGCACCAAGAAUUGUCUAUGCUUUGGUUUCCCAUUUUACUGUGUAUUAGGCUAAUUUUUAUCACAUUAAUAUUGUUAUUUUAUUUCAUAGCAGAGAAUCACUUCUCUGCUUCAACUAAAAAAAAAAAAGAAAGAAAGAGAAAAAAAAGAGUUCCUGAUUUCCUUGGUUCCUGUCAUUUACAAGUGACAGCUGAAUUCCAGUGUUUUUGCUAUACUAGCAACCUGACUUUUAUCUUGCUUUCUCCCUGUUUGGAUUCUGUGGACACACACACAUGUGGUGGCCAUAUGUUUUAUAUCACUUUUUUAUGGUAUCCAGCAUAGAACACCUAGGACAAUUGUUCUCACAGCCCUUUGGGGCUUGAAUGGCCCUAUGACAGGGGUCACUUAAGACCAUCUGCAUGUCAGAUAACUUACACAAUGAUCAUAACAGCAGCAACAUUACAGUUAUGAAAUAGCAACAAAAAUAAUGGUUGUGGGUCCACCAUGAGGAACUGUUAGGGGCUCAGAGCAGCAGGAUGCCUGGGAACACUGGCAGAACCGCUGUGUGUGCCUGUUUGGCAAGUUCACGUCUUUCCACCAAAUUAGCUGCCUUUUCCAGUUUUCUUGGACCUGUUAGGUACAGAGAUUAUGGAAAAGCAGCAAGCCUUUUUGAUGGUGACACAUAAUUCUGGGUUGUUAAAGAAGGCAGCAGUUCUUCCCAUCCUUCUCUUCUGGGAGGAUGGGAGGAGUGCAAGGGCUUCUGCUGGCCUCCAGGCUUUUAUUACUAUGACCCUUUCUUUUUAACCAAGGCCAGGUAAGCAACAGCAGCCGGGGAAGGUGUGAACAUGGAGACCAAGGAAAAGGAAGAAUGGCUGUCUUCAGUGACUAGGACAGGAGAGAAAAGCAGCCACCAGCAGUUUUGAAGGAGUCAGCUGAGACUGCAAUAGCUGUUGAAGUGAAGGUUUUGAGAAACUAUACUACUAAGCCAUCAGACUUCAAAAAUUCUGUAAUUAUGUUUUAUGUUAAGAGUGACACUUAUUUAAAGCUUACCAGUAAAUUCGGUUGUCAAAUAUUAUGCCAAAAACUGCUCCUACACUAACUGCAUACACUGCACAGUCUCGGAAGAGGGGCCAGCAGGAGAGUGUUGAAACCUGGAAAAUGAUGGUUUGAUUUACUGUGUGCAUUACAGUGUAAGGCAUUCAAGAACAGUGUAUAAUACUGAAAUCACGUAUAUUUGUGGUAAACUAUUGUUAAGUUUGCAUAUUACGUAGAGAAAAACAAUUUUAAAGUAAAAUUGUAUAUAAACCUGUACUGACUUUUAUAAAUUUCAUUAAGAGAUGCUUAUGGAUUAUGUCAAUUGAGUAAAUGUUUUUCUAGUGGUUAUUAAAUUUGACUGAAUGCAA